UACGUAGGGGGCAAGCGUUGUCCGGAUUUACUGGGCGUAAAGGGCUCGUAGGCGGCCAACUAAGUCAGACGUGAAAUCCCUCGGCUUAACCGGGGAACUGCGUCUGAUACUGGAUGGCUUGAGAUUGGGAGAGGGAUGCGGAAUUCCAGGUGUAGCGGUGAAAUGCGUAGAUAUCUGGAGGAACACCAAUGGCGAAGGCAGCUCGCUGGGACGGUACUGACGCUGAGGCGCGAAAGCGUGGGGAGCAAACAGG
rnacentral:rRNA from 1 species